rnacentral:rRNA from 1 species
GACGAACGCUGGCGGCGUGCUUAACACAUGCAAGUGGAGCGACGAACCCGAGCUUGCUCGGGGGCAGAGCCGCGAACGGGUGAGUAACACGUGGGUCACCUGCCUCAAUGACCGGGACAACCCGAAGAAAUUCGGGCUAAUACCGGAUGUGCACUUCGGUGGAAAGGUAGCUUCGGCUUCCGCAUUGAGAUGGGCCCGCGGAGCAUUAGCUUGUUGGUGGGGUAAUGGCCUACCAAGGCGACGAUGCUUAGCUGGUCUGAGAGGACGAUCAGCCACACUGGGACUGAGACACGGCCCAGACUCCUACGGGAGGCAGCAGUGGGGAAUCUUGCGCAAUGCGCGAAAGCGUGACGCAGCAACGCCGCGUGGGGGAAGAAGGCCUUCGGGUUGUAAACCUCUUUCAGUUGGGACGAAGCUUCUGCGGUUAAUAGCCGUAUGGAGUGACGGUACCUUCACAAGAAGCCCCGGCUAACUACGUGCCAGCCGCCGCGGUAAAAC